rnacentral:rRNA from 1 species
UGAGGAGUAUUGGUCAAUGGGCGGGAGCCUGAACCAGCCAAGUCGCGUGAAGGAAGAAGGAUCUAUGGUCCGUAAACUUCUUUUGCAGGGGAAUAAAGUGCAGGACGUGUCCUGUUUUGUAUGUACCCUGAGAAUAAGGAUCGGCUAACUCCGUGCCAGCAGCCGCGGUAAUACGGAGGAUCCGAGCGUUAUCCGGAUUUAUUGGGUUUAAAGGGUGCGUAGGUGGUUUGAUAAGUCAGCGGUGAAAGUUUGCAGCUUAACUGUAAAAAUGCCGUUGAAACUGUCGGACUUGAGUGUAAAUGAGGUAGGCGGAAUGCGUGGUGUAGCGGUGAAAUGCAUAGAUAUCACGCAGAACUCCGAUUGCGAAGGCAGCUUACUAAGCUACAACUGACACUGAAGCACGAAAGCGUGGGGAUCAAAC